UAAAGCAAGAAAGGGCGUAUGGGGAAUGCCUAGGCACACUCCGGCGAAGAAGGACGCAGCAAACAGCGAAAUGCGACGGGGAGCGGUAAGCACGCUAAGAGCCGUCGAUAUCCGAAUGGGGGAACCCACAUGGAGUCAAGUCCAUGUAUCACAUGUCGAAUACAUAGACAUGAAGAGGCGAGACGCAGGGAACUGAAACAUCUAAGUACCUGCAGGAAGAGAAAAUAAGAAUGAUUUUCUGAGUAGCGGCGAGCGAAAGGGAAAGAGCCCAAACCGAUCUGAGGAUCGGGGUAGUAGGAUCAUCAAGGAAUCUUACAGAGGAUCAUAGAGGAAUCACAUGGGAAGGUGAGCGAGAGAGGGUGAGAGCCCCGUACUCGAAAUGAGAGACUGGAGAGAGAUGACACCUGAGUAGGGCGGGACACGAGGAAUCCUGUCUGAAACGGCCGGGACCAUCCGGCAAGGCUAAAUACGAGAGUAGUGACCGAUAGUGAACCAGUACCGUGAGGGAAAGGUGAAAAGAACCCCGGGAGGGGAGUGAAAGAGAACCUGAAACCAUAUGCCUACAAGAAGUCAGAGCCCGUUAAAGGGUGAUGGCGUGCCUUUUGUAGAAUGAACCGGCGAGUUACUGUAUGGAGCGAGGUUAAGCAGGAUAUGCGGAGCCGAAGCGAAAGCGAGUCUUAAGAGGGCGAGAGUUGCAUGCAGUAGACCCGAAACCGGGUGAUCUAGCCAUGACCAGGUUGAAGUUGGGGUAAAACCCGAUGGAGGACCGAACCGACCCCCGUUGAAACGUUGGCGGAUGAGUUGUGGCUAGGGGUGAAAUUCCAAUCGAACCCGGAGAUAGCUGGUUCUCCCCGAAAUAGCUUUAGGGCUAGCGUCGAGGAAAGUUGCGUGAAGGUAGAGCACUGAAUAUGUGAUGGCCCCAUCUCGGGGUACUGAGCAUAAUCAAACUUCGAAUGUCACGGAAACAUGCUCGGCAGUCAGACAGCGGGUGAUAAGGUCCGUUGUCAAGAGGGAAACAGCCCAGACCAUCAGCUAAGGUCCCAAAAUGUAUGCUAAGUGGAAAAGGAUGUGGAGAUGUACAGACAACUAGGAGGUUGGCUCAGAAGCAGCCAUCCUUUAAAGAGUGCGUAACAGCUCACUAGUCGAAUGACUCUGCGCCGAUAAUUUACCGGGGCUAAGCAUACUACCGAAGCUAUGGAUCCUGAGGGAUGGUAGGGGAGCGUUCCAUGAACGGAGAAGCGCGAUCGAGAGGACGCGUGGAGAUCAUGGAAGAGAGAAUGCCGGUGUGAGUAGCGGAACGUGGGUGAGAAUCCCACGCACCGAAGACCCAAGGUUUCCAGAGGAAGGUUCGUCCGCUCUGGGUAAGUCGGGACCUAAGGCGAGGCCGAAAGGCGUAGUCGAUGGACAACAGGUAGAGAUUCCUGUACUCAUAUAUAUGUGAAGGAAUGACGGAGAGAGGAAGCUGCAGCCAGCGGCUGGAAGAGCUGGUGCAAGCGAGAUAUCGGGAUGGCAGGCAAAUCCACCAUCCGAAACGAGAAGGCGUGAAGCGUACGGAAAGCCACGGCGAGUACGGAAGGCAGUGGACGAGCUUCCAAGAAAAGUUUCUAACGAAAGUAUAUAUGACCCGUACCGAAAAUGGACACACAUGGGUGAGGAGAGAAUCCUAAGGUGAGCGAGAGAACUAUAGCUAAGGAACUCUGCAAAAUGACUCCGUAACUUAGGGAGAAGGAGUGCUCAUAGAGAUAUGAGCCGCAGUGAAACGGCCCAAGCGACUGUUUACCAAAAACACAGCUCUCUGCUAAGCCGCAAGGCGAAGUAUAGGGGGUGACGCCUGCCCGGUGCUGGAAGGUUAAGGGGAGGGGUUAACGCAAGUGAAGCCCUGAACUGAAGCCCCAGUAAACGGCGGCCGUAACUAUAACGGUCCUAAGGUAGCGAAAUUCCUUGUCAGGUAAGUUCUGACCCGC
rnacentral:rRNA from 1 species